rnacentral:rRNA from 1 species
UACGUAGGGCGCGAGCGUUGUCCGGAAUUAUUGGGCGUAAAGAGCUCGUAGGCGGCUUGUCACGUCGGGGUGUGAAAGCCCGGGGCUUAACCCCGGGUCUGCAUUCGAUACGGGCUGGCUAGAGUGUGGUAGGGGAGAUCGGAAUUCCUGGUGUAGCGGUGAAAUGCGCAGAUAUCAGGAGGAACACCGGUGGCGAAGGCGGAUCUCUGGGCCAUCACUGACGCUGAGGAGCGAAAGCGUGGGGAGCGAACAGG